UGGUGCUGGCUGGUGCUGGCCAUGGCUGCUGGUGGUGUCUGCAGGUAGUGGCUGCUGGUGGCGACUGCUGACUGCUGGAAUAAGAGGAGACUGGAGGCUGUGGAGACUGCGGACGGUGUGCCGGGAAUGGAGAGGCCGAGUACAUCCAUGGCAACCAGUAAGGUGUUUGUCAGUGGCCUAGAUGGUAUGACCUUAGGUGAGGAGGUCUGCUGUGUGGAAAUCGCCUUCUUGGUCUGACUCUUGCUGCCAAGUUACCCCUUAUUACGGCUGUUUGCCUUCCUCUCAGCUCCGAUGCACUUUGAGUGAAUCCUUAACCUCAGCCUGAUGUAUGUUGAAAGGAUUUUUUUUUUCAGCUCAUGGCAUGAGGGAAAGUUGCUGUCCAGACUCAUGGCCUCUCUUUCCAGCUGUUCCACUACGUUGAAGGAUUCCAUAAGGGAAUCACUCGUCUUGGAACGGAAGAGCUGCUCCACGUGCUGCAGGAGAGUAAACAGCUUAUUGGAUGGCCGUGCACACUGGCAUUCCUCACAAAGCGAAAAGCUGAUGACCCUCUUCGCUAUGUAUCCUGCCAGGUGGUAGCAGACACAAGACUCAGCCUUUGUGGUCUGAUGCAUCAUCCAGAUCUUGCUGGACCACCAGUAUCGUUGUUGUGGCCAUCACAGGUUUCAGUGGAGCCCCCCCCCCCAA